rnacentral:rRNA from 1 species
GAUGAACGCUGGCGGCGUGCCUAAUACACGCAAGUCGAGCGAACGGACGAGAAGCUUGCUUCUCUGAUGUUAGCGGCGGACGGGUGAGUAACACGUGGAUAACCUACCUAUAAGACUGGGAUAACUUCGGGAAACCGGAGCUAAUACCGGAUAAUAUUUUGAACCGCAUGGUUCAAAAGUGAAAGACGGUCUUGCUGUCACUUAUAGAUGGAUCCGCGCUGCAUUAGCUAGUUGGUAAGGUAACGGCUUACCAAGGCAACGAUGCAUAGCCGACCUGAGAGGGUGAUCGGCCACACUGGAACUGAGACACGGUCCAGACUCCUACGGGAGGCAGCAGUAGGGAAUCUUCCGCAAUGGGCGAAAGCCUGACGGAGCAACGCCGCGUGAGUGAUGAAGGUCUUCGGAUCGUAAAACUCUGUUAUUAGGGAAGAACAUAUGUGUAAGUAACUGUGCACAUCUUGACGGUACCUAAUCAGAAAGCCACGGCUAACUACGUGCCAGCAGCCGCGGUAAUACGUAGGUGGCAAGCGUUAUCCGGAAUUAUUGGGCGUAAAGCGCGCGUAGGCGGUUUUUUAAGUCUGAUGUGAAAGCCCACGGCUCAACCGUGGAGGGUCACUGGAAACUGGAAAACUUGAGUGCAGAAGAGGAAAGUGGAAUUCCAUGUGUAGCGGUGAAAUGCGCAGAGAUAUGGAGGAACACCAGUGGCGAAGGCGACUUUCUGGUCUGUAACUGACGCUGAUGUGCGAAAGCGUGGGGAUCAAACAGGAUUAGAUACCCUGGUAGUCCACGCCGUAAACGAUGAGUGCUAAGUGUUAGGGGGUUUCCGCCCCUUAGUGCUGCAGCUAACGCAUUAAGCACUCCGCCUGGGGAGUACGACCGCAAGGUUGAAACUCAAAGGAAUUGAUGGGGACCCGCACAAGCGGUGGAGCAUGUGGUUUAAUUCGAAGCAACGCGAAGAACCUUACCAAAUCUUGACAUCCUUUGACAACUCUAGAGAUAGAGCUUUCCCCUUCGGGGGACAAAGUGACAGGUGGUGCAUGGUUGUCGUCAGCUCGUGUCGUGAGAUGUUGGGUUAAGUCCCGCAACGAGCGCAACCCUUAAGCUUAGUUGCCAUCAUUAAGUUGGGCACUCUAAGUUGACUGCCGGUGACAAACCGGAGGAAGGUGGGGAUGACGUCAAAUCAUCAUGCCCCUUAUGAUUUGGGCUACACACGUGCUACAAUGGACAAUACAAAGGGCAGCGAAACCGCGAGGUCAAGCAAAUCCCAUAAAGUUGUUCUCAGUUCGGAUUGUAGUCUGCAACUCGACUACAUGAAGCUGGAAUCGCUAGUAAUCGUAGAUCAGCAUGCUACGGUGAAUACGUUCCCGGGUCU